rnacentral:rRNA from 1 species
AGAGUUUGAUCAUGGCUCAGAACGAACGUUGGCGGCGUGGAUUAGGCAUGCAAGUCGAACGAAUCCCACUCGUGUAGCAAUACAUGGGUGGGGGAAGUGGCGAAAGGGGCAGUAAUGCGUGGGUAACCUACCCCGGGGACCGGGAUAGCCUUUCUAACGAAAGGGUAAUACCGGGCGAUGUGGCCGAGGGGCAUCUCUUGACCAUGAGAUGAAUUUCGCCUCGGGAGGGGCUCACGUGCUAUUAGCUAGUUGGUAGGGUAACGGCCUACCAAGGCAAAGAUGGCUAGCGGGUGUGAGAGCACGACCCGCGCCACUGGCACUGAGACACUGGCCAGACACCUACGGGUGGCUGCAGUCGAGGAUCUUCGGCAAUGGGCGAAAGCCUGACCGAGCGACGCCGCGUGUGCGAUGAAGGCCUUCGGGUUGUAAAGCACUGUCGAGGGGGAGGAAAGCCCGCAAGGGUCUGACCUAUCCCUGGAGGAAGGACGGGCUAAGUUCGUGCCAGCAGCCGCGGUAAGACGAACCGUCCUAACGUUGUUCGGAAUCACUGGGCUUAAAGGGCGCGUAGGCGGGCGAUCAAGUCAGGGGUGAAAUCUUUCGGCUUAACCGGAAAAUGGCCCCUGAUACUGAUUGUCUUGAGGGAGAUAGGGGCCAUGGGAACUUCUGGUGGAGCGGUGAAAUGCGUUGAUAUCAGAAGGAACGCCGGUGGCGAAAGCGCAUGGCUGGACCUCUUCUGACGCUGAGGCGCGAAAGCUAGGGUAGCGAACGGGAUUAGAUACCCCUGUAGUCC